rfam:Danio rerio chromosome 22, GRCz11 reference primary assembly.
AGCAGAGUGGUGCAGCGGAAGCGUGCUGGGCCCAUAACCUAGAUGUUGAUGGAUUAAAACCAUUCUCUGCUA